UGGUUAACGUCAAUAGUUGCAGGUAUUAACUACAACUCCUUCCUCACCACUGAAAGUGCUUUACAACCCAAGGCCUUCUUCACACACGCGGCAUGGCUGGAUCAGGGGUUGCCCCCAUUGUCCAAUAUUCCCC
rnacentral:rRNA from 1 species